rnacentral:rRNA from 1 species
GAUGAACGCUGGCGGCGUGCCUAAUACAUGCAAGUCGAGCGAACGGACGAGAAGCUUGCUUCUCUGAUGUUAGAGGCGGAAGGGUGAGUAACACGUGGAUAACCUACCUAUAAGACUGGGAUAACUUCGGGAAACCGGAGCUAAUACCGGAUGAUAUUUUGAACCGCAUGGUUCAAAAGUGAAAGACGGCCUUGCUGUCACUUAUAGAUGGAUCCGCGCUGCAUUAGCUAGUUGGUAAGGUAACGGCUUACCAAGGCAACGAUGCAUAGCCGACCUGAGAGGGUGAUCGGCCACACUGGAACUGAGACACGGUCCAGACUCCUACGGGAGGCAGCAGUAGGGAAUCUUCCACAAUGGGCGAAAGCCUGACGGAGCAACGCCGCGUGAGUGAUGAAGGUCUUCGGAUCGUAAAACUCUGUUAUUAGGGAAGAACAGAUGUGUAAGUAACUGUGCACAUCUUGACGGUACCUAAUCAGAAAGCCACGGCUAACUACGUG